rnacentral:lncRNA from 1 species
AAAUUAAAAAAUUAGCCAGGCAUGGUGGUAUAUGCCUAUAGUCCCAGCUUCCUGGGAAGCUAAGGUGGGAGGAUCUCUUGAACCUGGGAGGUCAAGGCUGCAGUGAGCUGUGAUUGCACCACUGUACUCCAGCUUGGGCAACAGAGUGAGAUUAAAAAAAAACAAAAGACAUCUUGAAAUGCUCCUCUAUUGUACUACCAUACUAAUAGUGUCAAGUAAAAGCCAUCUUAAAUGUUUUUUGGGAAGCUUUAGUAGAGAGAAUGUACUGCACUUUUUUCACUUUUUUAUUUUAUCCCACAAAGCAGGGGUCCCCAACACCCUGGCCAUGGACUGGUACUGGUCCGUGGCCUGUUAGGAACUGAGCCACACAGGAAUAGGUGAGCAGCAGGUGAGUGAGCAAAACUUCAUCUGUAUUUACAGCCACUCCGCAUUGCUUGCAUUAUGGCCUGAGCUCUGCCUCCUGUCAGAACAGCGGCAGCAUUAGAUUCUGACAGGAGUGCAAACCCUAUUGUGACCUGCACAUGUGUGGGAUCUAGGUUGUGUGCUCCUUACAAGAAUCUAAUGCCUGGGCCGGGCAUGGUGGCUCAAGCCUGUAAUCCCAGCACUUUGGGAGGCCGAGGCGGGUGGAUUACGAGAUCAAGAGAUUGAGACCAUCCUGGUCAACAUGGUGAAACCCCGUCUCUACUAAAAAUACAAAAAAUUAGCUGGGCAUGGUGGCAUGUGCCUGUAAUCCCAGCUACUUGGAUGGCUGAGGCAGGAGAAUUGCCUGAACCCAGGAGGCAGAGGUUGCGGUGAGCCGAGAUCGUGCCAUUGCACUCCAGCCUGGGUAACAAGAGUGAAACUCCGUCUCAAAAAAAAAAAAAAAAAAAAAAGAAUCUAAUGCCUGAUGAUCUGUCACUGUCUCCCACCAUCUAGUUGCAGGAAAAUAAGCUCAGGGCUCCCACUGACUCUACAUUAUGGAGACAUGUAUAUGAGGAGAACACUAGGUGAACAUGAAGACUGUCAUCUACAAGCCAAGAGAUGCCAGGAGCAGGUCCUUCAGAGCCCUCAGAAGGAACCAACUCUGCUGGCACCUUGAUUUUGGACUUCCAGCCUCCAGAACUGUGAGACCAUACAUUUCUGUUGUUUAAGUCACCCAGUCUGUGACACUUUGUUAGGCAGAUGUUUAGGGGCGAAAACAUCUUCUGUGUGGACUAGUCGUUUGGCAAGAUAAAGCCCCCCAAUACUAUUUUGGAAACCCUGAAUGCAUCUUUUAUCCUUUUUGUAGAUAGAGAAUAAUUAAAAUGUAGGGAAUAGGAUUCUGUUGUUUCAAAAAUUUUGGACAAAUUGAAAAUAACAGUAGUUCAAGAAUUUAGGAUCAACAGUGUAAGCAUUUUAAAUUCAUGGCAAGUAAGACUUGGCGCAUAGCAUAACUAAGUUGUCUUCUGUGCCUCUCAGACUAAUAU